rnacentral:rRNA from 1 species
UACGAAGGGGGCUAGCGUUGUUCGGAAUCACUGGGCGUAAAGGGCGCGUAGGCGGCUUUAUAAGUCGGGGGUGAAAGCCUGUGGCUCAACCACAGAAUUGCCUUCGAUACUGUAGAGCUUGAGACCGGAAGAGGUAAGUGGAACUGCGAGUGUAGAGGUGAAAUUCGUAGAUAUUCGCAAGAACACCAGUGGCGAAGGCGGCUCACUGGCCCGAUACUGACGCUGAGGCACGAAAGCGUGGGGAGCAAA